UAACAAGGAUUCCCCUAGUAACUGCGAGUGAAGCGGGAAAAGCUCAUAUUUAAAAUCUGGCGGUCUUCGGCCGUCCGAGUUGUAAUCUGGAGAAGCGUCUUCCGCGCUGGACCGUGUACAAGUCUCUUGGAACAGAGCGUCAUAGAGGGUGAGAAUCCCGUCUUUGACACGGACUACCAGUGCUUUGUGAUGCGCUCUCGAUGAGUCGAGUUGUUUGGGAAUGCAGCUCAAAACGGGUGGUAAAUUCCAUCUAAAGCUAAAUAUUGGCGAGAGACCGAUAGCGAACAAGUACCGUGAGGGAAAGAUGAAAAGCACUUUGGAAAGAGAGUUAAACAGUACGUGAAAUUGCUGAAAGGGAAACGCUUGAAGUCAGUCGCGUUUGCUAGAACUCAGCCUUGCUUCUGUGAGGUGCAUUUUCUAGUGAACGGGCCAGCAUCAGUUUUGGCUGCCGGACAAAGGCCUUGGGAAUGUGGCACCUUCGGGUGUGUUAUAGCCCUUGGUCGUAUACGGUGGCUGGGACUGAGGAUCUCAGCACGCCUUCAUGGCGGGGGUUCGCCCACCUUCGCGCUUAUGAUGCUGGCGUAAUGUCUUUAAACGAC
rnacentral:rRNA from 1 species